ensembl:lncRNA
AUAUAUAUAUGGGGUUUAUAGUCCAUUUUGUUUUGUUUAUAUUACUGUUGCUAUGGUUUCCUGCACACGCAAACGCAAUUUUUGUAUUUAGCUCACUCUUUGAACUUUUUUGUUUUUGUUAAUGAAACUUUUGAACGAGUAGUUGAAACUUUUAUUAUGAGAUAUUUAUUAUUAAUAUUUAUAACAAUAAAACCUUUUAGAGCCUGCAGCGUUUUGUUUUGUUUUCCCAAGGGGAUUAAAUCUUAAUUGGUUGUAGUUGCAUCGCAGAACGACAUGCUUGUCACAUCACUUUCAUAUCAUUUGUUAUUUUAUUUUAUUUAUUUAUUUUACAGUUAAAUCUAGAUUUUUUAUAUUUAAUAUAAAUUUUGCAUUAUAAUAAUAAGUGAUUAUAAUAGUCUCAAUCAUAAAUGAAUGGUUACAUAUUUUUAUUCUGAGCAUCUGAGAAGACAACAGCAAGUAAGCCAAUCAGCUGAGGGGAAGCAUCUCGUGUUUAAAAUGCCUGUGAUAUCCAAGAGAAGGUGUAUCAGAUUCCAUGCGGUGCAGUUUGGACCUAUAAGGGGAUGUUUAAAGAAUAAAAGCCUAGGUGCGGCAGUGCAGGGAUUUCUGAAAAGAUGAAAGGCGUGCGGUUAUCAAGGAUUUUUAUCCUUCCUGCUGCUUGAAAUGAGACUGACAAACAACUGUAUUCUAAAACUACACAGUGAUAAAUGACUGUACAUAGACAGCCUAUAGAUUUCAAAUAACUUCUGCCAAACAAGAUUGAAACAAAAUUUAAAGUAAAUUCAUUCAGCUGUGCAUUUUUUUGUUGUUGUCAUUAUUAACAAAAUCACCAGCUUUAGCACUCUUAGCUAUUUGAAAAUGUACUUGCUCCUGAAAAAGUUUAGAAUAGAUUUAAAGGUGUUAUUUGUAUAUUUGUUUAUAAGAAUUAAAGCUGAUAAUUAAUGUAAUAUUAUUUGAUCAUUUAAAAUACUGCCCCACCUAACUGACUAUGACAUUUGUAGGUUAUUUUCCCAGUAUUUACUGUAGUUCUGCUGCACAAUUAAAAUAUUGCUAUGUUUGAGCAUCCCAAUAAGUCCCACACAGGAAAGUUAGCUUAACUAGUGGCGUGAGUUUUGGGCGGGGCUAUCUGUGUACUCACCAAUGACUGACAACAGCCUUUUUGACAACAUUCACUAUUUUUGCAAUUUAGUUUUUUUGGCACUGUAGUGACAAAGAAAAUUACACACUUAAUAUUUAAAGAGAUUGUAUGUGUAUGUAUGUUUUUCUUUCUUUAAACAAUUUUGGACCCCAUUGACCUUUUGUGUGGGCAAAAACACCACAACAUUUUCCAAAACAUCAUCUGUUGUGUUCCAUGGAAGAGCAAAAGUCAUACAGGUUUGGAAAAGCAUGAAGGCAUGAGAUAAAUGAUGAUAGGAAAUUCAGGUUUGGGUGAACUACAGUAUCUUUUUAAGCUCAAAUUUAAAAUCACAGGAUAUCACAAUUGCUUGUUCUUAGGCAAAUUGUGAGUGUGUCAAGAUAUAAAACUGUAUGAAUUUGUGUCAUAGCUGACGUGGUUAGCCAGCGGUGGCAACAGGAAAAAAAAGAAAAAAAAAAACUGGCAUGCAUCCUAACUUUACUGUGUUACCUAGGGAAUGUAGCAUUGUUUGUCUCAGGCACAGUUUUAUUAGAAUAAUUAUAUCUGUCAUGUCAGAAAAUGUUGUGGAAGAAAAAAACCCUCAGUGGAUUACAUGGGCCUUUCCUGGCGUGACCUGAACUGAGUUCAUUUAUUUAAUUCUCUCAUCUAGAUUGAUUGGCCUCAGUGCGCACAAACAAGUGAUGAGGAUUCAACUGGACAUUUGUGAAAUUCUGGGACAGAAAGCAUUUCUUGCGUGUCCGUGUACUCGGCAAGGGGAGAUGGGCCCUGCAGGCUUUGAAACAUGAGGCUUCAGAGAUAACAUUUCAUGUCCAAUAGUGCUGCCUAACCACGCAGCCCACAUGAAAUAAACCCUCACUCUCUGUUUUGGCUUUCA